AUGGAACCAAUCCUGCUCUAUAUUUGCCUUUCAUAUAAAUCGGCCAGCCACAGCUCCAAGAAUACGCGGAGGAGGUGGCCCGGGUCGGCGUCGGCGCCGUCCGGUGCGGGCCAUGGGCCCGCUUCCAAGUGCGUCUGUGCGCCGGCCACCCACGCCGGGUCCUUCAAGUGCCGCUUCCACCGCCCCAACUCCCAGGGCCACGGCCACGGCCAGGGCCAGGGAAGCUGCCCUUCUUCGCCCCCUUCACGGCCGCGGCACCCAGCCUCGCCGUCCUCGUCCUCCGGCACCGUCGCGACCCAGUGA
rnacentral:rRNA from 1 species